CGUGUAGGCUGUGCGGUAAGUUGGGCGUGAAAUCCCCGGGCUUAACCCGGGGGGGCCGUUCAAGACUGCCGUGCUAGGGUGCGGGAGAGGGAAGUGGAAUUCCCAGUGUAGAGGUGAAAUUCGUAGAUAUUGGGAAGAACACCGGUGGCGAAGGCGGCUCACUGGCCCGUUUCUGACGCUCAUGCACGAUAGCGUGGGGAUCAAACAGGAUUAGAUACCCUGGUAGUCCACGCCGUAAACUAUGGACGCUAGCCGUUGGGUAGCUUGCUAUUCAGUGGCGCAGCUAACGCCUUAAGCGUCCCGCCUGGGGAGUACGGCCGCAAGGUUGAA
rnacentral:rRNA from 1 species